rnacentral:lncRNA from 1 species
CUCUGUCGGUAUGAGGCCAUUCGGAUUUGAGCCUCAUCUCGCAGUUCGGAGAGAAGGUCUAGGUCGGCCCUCCGGCUUUCGGAGUUGUCCGGCUCGUGAUACUGCUCGACCCUUGAAGAUGGCAGGCCAAUCUCGAGCGGGAUCAUAGCUUCUGUCCCGUAGGCCAAACUGAACGGCGACUCCCCGGUCGGGACGCGGGGGGUCGUUCGGUAAGCCCACAGGACGGAGCCCAGCUCGUCGACCCAGA